GGGAACGGGGAGGCGUCUGCCCAUCCCCGGCCGCGCCAGCCCCGCUUCUUCUCCUCAAAACUUAGAGAUCCGGUUCAGAGGCGCGCGGUGAGCCCCUCCGCCUCAGCCGCUCGCCCCCCUUGCCUUAAACCUCGAAAUGUGUAACUCCUCGUUUACCACGUGGAGCACAGAUUCACCUUCAGAACAUCUAACUUUCUUCCCGCAAUUCACCUGGUCUUCUCUAGCAUCAUACAGGAUGCAGUCUUGGGACGAUGCAAAGAGCAAUCCCACCUGAAGAAACACUAACAAGAAAACACCAGACUGACUUAAAGACAUACUGAGGGAUUUCCACUGGAACCAGCAAGACUGGAAGCCUGCAGCAUCGUUGAAAACAGGCCCUUGGCCUUUACAUGAGAACAAACGCAAGUAGUGUUGACAGCUACCUCGUUAUUUGUUCAAAGGACCUGAACCACCAAUGCCCAGGGAUUAGUAUGAACAUGGCAAUGACAUAUGAGACUGCCCCCACGUACUUUCCUAGUUGCUGAUUACUUUCAGAAUCAGAAAUGCCAGAAGGAAGAAGAAAAAAAAAGUUUAAGGAUCUGAGUUACCAAGGCAUCGCUGAAGUUCACAAAAUCUAAACAAGGAACUACAUGAGUAACCACACAAGCUAGACUGAAUACUGUACGCUCCUGAAUUAAACUUAAUGACCUAUCCUUAUGCCUGAACAAUCCCUUCAGACUCCAGGAGAAAGGUAAUGAAGAAAAAGGCUUGGAUUCUAUCGGGAGGUAUCUGUAGCUGAAAACAGAUGUGAAAGGAAAAAGAGUGGAAUGACUUUAAAGGACCACCCCGAGCCUUGAAAAGGUGUCAGAGAUAACAUCCGUUUAUUUUAAUAUUUUCUAGUCUUUCCAGUAUGCAUUUGUGUUGUUCUCUCCUGGGGUGUGACAUCCUCCAAGUUUUAUGAUCUGAUCCACUUUAUGGCUGUUUAUUCCUAACAUAAAUCCUGCAGAAAUAAUUUCACAAAUUUCCUUCCAGUUGUAGUUUUAGUAACAUUUAUAAUUAUCUGUCAAUAAUGCUGUAUUUUUCAGCAAUAUCAAUUUGAAUGUGCUGAGUUAUCUUUCCACUGUGAUUUCUCUACUGCUAUUUCUAUUACAGUAAUUUCAUGGACUAGAGCCUUGUAGAGAGAUAAUUUGGAAUCUAUAUAAAAUUUAUUACGUGUUCCUAUCAAGCCAUAGGCUGUAGCACUGCUUGUGGUAUAUGCUACAUUGUAUAUUGAUAAAUGUAUAUUUUACAUUUAUCCUGAUAGCUUUAUUUCUGCUAUUGUUAUUCAAAUUAUAUAAACUUCCAUACACGCUACACAAAUUCUACUUCCAUAGAGUGCAUUCUCAAUUAUUUCACUAGUUAUGUGCCUCUUAUUUUUUCUCUGGCAACGCUAACAUAAGUGGAACCAUAAAGAUUUGUAGAAAUUAUGAAGUCUUUCCUUAUUCUUGCUAUUCAGUUAAUAUGCUAUCCAUUUUCAGACAGCCCACUGUAAAACUUUUUAUGGCAACGCUUAGUAGACUACUUUCCCAGUCAUUUAGAUCAUAGUGACAAAAAAAUCCCACAAAAAACAAACAACCCAGCUCAGCAAUUAAAGCAAGGGGAAAUACUUUUUGUGUCCACACACAAUAUUGCCAAAAUUAGUGUUGCUUACCCAGUGUAUUUUUAACAUUCAGCCAAAGGAUAAAAGAACUGAAUGUUCUUUUAUUCUCCAUCUGAACAGUACCACUAUUCAAAGGAAUCAUUUCCCCUCCUCAGCUUUGUAGCUUUUUUAGAAAAAUAUACCAGCAUUUUAUCCAACUUUGUCUAACACUGCUUUUUCACUUGUGAUAAAUUUGUUCCUUAUUUUUGUGAACUAUACUCAUGUAAUUUCUUGAAAUCAUAAACUAAUCAACUCUUGAAAUCA